rnacentral:rRNA from 1 species
CAGCCGCCGCGGGAACACGGAGGGAGCUAGCGUUGUUCGGAAUUACUGGGCGUAAAGCGCACGUAGGCGGCUUUGUAAGUCAGAGGUGAAAGCCUGGAGCUCAACUCCAGAACUGCCUUUGAGACUGCAUCGCUCGAAUCCGGGAGAGGUGAGUGGAAUUCCGAGUGUAGAGGUGAAAUUCGUAGAUAUUCGAAAGAACACCAGUGGCGAAGGCGGCUCACUGGACCGGUAUUGACGCUGAGGUGCGAAAGCGUGGGGAGCAAACAGGAUUAGAUACCCGCGUAGUCCCUGUCUCUUAUAC